rnacentral:rRNA from 1 species
UUGAUUCUGGCUCAGAAUCAACGCUGGCGGCGUGCCUAACACAUGCAAGUCGAGCGAGAAAGGGGGAGCAAUCCCCUGAGUAAAGCGGCGCACGGGUGAUUAACACGUGGGUAAUCUGCCCUGGAGUGGGGAAUAACACCGGGAAACCGUUGCUAAUACCGCAUACGAUAACGAUGUCUGCGGACGUUGUUAUGAAAGGUGCAAUUCGCUCCAGGAGGAGCCCGCGGCUGAUUAGCUAGUUGGUGAGGUUAUGGCUCACCAAGGCAACGAUCAGUAGCCGGUCUGAGAGGACGGUCGGCUACACUGGAACUGAGACACGGUCCAGACUCCUACGGGAGGCAGCAGUGGGUAAUUUUUGGCAAUGGGGGAAACCCUGGCCAAGCAACGCCGCGUGGAUGAUGAAGUAUCUCGGUACGUAAAAUCCUUUCGACAGGGAAGAAACCGCAAGGUUGACGGUACCUGUAGAAGAAGCCCCGGCUAACUCCGUGCCAGCAGCCGCUGUAAUAAGGU